GAGGGCAUCAGAUCUCAUUACAGAUGGUUGU
rnacentral:piRNA from 1 species